rnacentral:rRNA from 1 species
GAAUCAGCUUGUGUGUUAGUGGAACGGUCUGGAAAGUCCGACGGUACAGGGUGAUAGUCCCGUACACGAAAAUGCACUUGCUGUGAACUCGAAGAGUAGGGCGGGACACGUGGUAUCCUGUCUGAAUAUGGGGGGACCAUCCUCCAAGGCUAAAUA